rnacentral:tRNA from 1 species
GCCAGGGUGGUGCAGUGGUUUGGAUGUUGGACGAGGAUUCCUGGGACCAGGGUUCGAAUCCCCACUCAGCCG